AUCUGUGAGUGUCUCCUCCUGGGGGUGCGGGGCCCUCUGCCCUCCGAAGGGCUUGUGGGUAAACUUUCGAUGAGCUAUUUCUAAGGUAGGAAAAGGAAAACUAGAUCACAGAGCCCUGGGGAAGGGCUGUGCUUGGCACAGAAAAGAAGUGAUCCUGUCAGCAGGCAGGAGAGAGGGACAUGGGUUCAGCACCCAGCAGCUCAGACGACAGCUCCUGAACAGAGCGAGGGGGCCAAGAGCACGCCUCACAUCAAGGGCACCUGGAUGCGAGAGGUGCAAGGAGAAGGCAGAACAGCGGAGGCUUUGUGGCAAGAUUCCUAAGUCCGGGAGAACCUCCGUCUAGCCAGAAGCCCAUUCCUUUGUCCCUUUCGGGGGCCCCAGACGGUGGGGAUCAUCCUGCCAGGACGUGUUAUAGGGUGCUGUUCUGGGCAUUGCCCGCCGUGCAGUGGACACAUCGGAACCUGACAGGCCUGAGUCUGCCUGCCACCCUGCUAAACGAGACUCAGGUUAAGUGACUUGCCCACGGUCACCCAGCUGUCGACUCCAGAUUUAAUCUGGAAAGCCACAGAAAAUCACCGCAGGCAGGUUUGCAGCCUGGGGCAGGACAGAGAGAAAGCAGCCUCGGGUGGGCAGAGGAGCUGAUCUCUAGAGACUGCGCUGGGCUGUGCCUAAUCCAGACACAACGCUAAUCCAAAAAUAGGUGUUGUGCCCGACCACAGGGUCUCCCAGAGAAGCUGCUGGGGAUGCACGUGGGCCUGGAGACAUCCGUGCCUGGAGAGCCAGAUCCUCAAGGAGUCGUUCCCGGGAAAGCACCCGUUUCGCGGGGCGUUCGUUUUUGCUACAGUCGCUCACGGGAGGAAACAGUUCACUCAUUCAUUCCAGAGACCUUCACUGAACGCCUCCUGUGAAACACGUGCUUUUGCCGGUUGGGGCAAAAACCUGCGUGCCAGCCAUGGUCCUCCGGCGCCUCCGUGCUGACUUUCUAGCCCGUGACCUCCGCCUUGUUACUUCACCUCUGCACAGCCUCCUUGCCUGGUUGCACUGAGGAAUAAGUGACGUCCUUCUCAUAUGGUGCCCAGCCCAACGCCUGGCACGUGGAAGGCUGUUCAGGAAAGACGAGAUGAGGAAGCAGGUUCAGAGAGGUUAAGCCACUUGCCCAGGGACACGGAUUGCGUUUGAACCCAGGCCUGAGGAAGGCCAGCGUCCCAAGAAACCUGAGCCUCUCGGCUGCCUCUUCGUCUGGUCCCCGGUCCCCUGGCCUGACCGUUUGGCCACACUGGCUGGCUAGGCUUCUGGAGAGCCAUGCCCUGCAGGAUCCCUGCGUUGGCCCAUCUGAAGACCUUGCAGGGUUCCCAGAGUGUCCUGAUCCCCAGCCGGGCGUAGGUCCCUUCUGGCAGGGUGCUCGGCGCCUCCCCCAAGUCCUCCGAGCAGAGCGAACAAUUUCUCCCACCAGCCUCUUGCACAGUGGUUGCGCCAUGGCUGGCAGCUGGGUUUAACGGUAAUGUUUGUUUUGAACUUGAUGAUGUUUGUCGGAGGAAAAUGCUUCGAAGGGAGGGGCAGGUGAGGCAGGGAGUCGGGCAGAGGGGGCUGCCCCCCCAGCCCCCAGGCUGCUGAACCUCCCUCUGGGGGGUUCUCUCUACCUGGCGAGCUCCCCACACCCCCCCCCCCAACCGUGUGCAGACCCUCGCCAGAGCCACGGAGAAUGGGUGCCAGGGGCACCUGGCAGGUGAGCGGACCCAGGAGGCAGGGACGAUGAUUGGUGUCUUUGCCAAGGUCAGCUGACUUGCUGGGCCAUCUUACGGGCGAAUCCCUUAACCUCUCCUCCGCAGCCUGAGAGCCAAAAUACGUGUCAAGUGCUUGUCAGACUUCUCAUGAGCAACCGUUCCUUUGGGCCUGGGACUGCUUCAUUGAGUACUGAGAGUCCUGCGCCUUGAGAAACACCUCGGGCUCGGACAAACCAGGACAACUGCUCACCCUUUUUAGAUGGUGAAGAAUCCUGCUGGCAUUGGUAUAAGACGAGCGCUUUGAAAAGCCCAGAGGUCCACGCCAGAGGCCAGGGCAGGCACUGUAUCGGCCCCACGUGGAUAUUUCCAUCCCCUGAGGCUACCUGAGGUGGAAACAGGGACCCAGGAAUGAGUUGGCCCCGAGUGGGCUGUGGGCUCUGGGGCUGUGCCCGAGUGCUUUGGGGCUGGCCGGAUCAAGAAGUCUUUGAGAACGAGAGACAGCUCCCCUGGGCUCCUGGGCCCCACCGGGAAAGGGGCCCGUGGGGGGAGGCAGGAGCUCCGAGUCCCUACCUGCAGAGGGCCUGCCGCCUGAGCUGGCUGUCCCGGGCAGCUCUGUGGCACCACCCGGGUCAGCAAUCGUUCACGAAAUAAAUGCUGAGGGAGCGCUCACUUUGUGCGGUGCUGGGGGCGGGGGGGUGGGGGGUGUGGUGCCAAGCUCUGGGGGCUUGGCGAGGAACGAGAGACACAGCCCCUGUCUUCACGGCGCUGGCGCUCCCAGUAGGAGAGAGGCAUGAGCUCCCAACCAGAAGCAGACCGAUUUCAUUGCGGCUGUGGUCAGUGCCAUGAAGGACAAAGGGGGCUCAGGCGGGUGGCCUCAGACCUAGUCUGGGAGGGCCCUGCGAAACGUGAGCUGCUGUUCCGAGGAUGACGGGGGAGCAGCUGGAAAAACGCUGUGGGAUUGUGACCAGGCUGGCCCCUUUAGAGCUGUGUGACCUUGGGCAAGUGGCUUGGUGUCUCUGAGCCUUGGUGCUUCCUCUGUGCCAUGGAGAUGGUCCGCAUCUAUUCCCAGUUGGUGGGAGGCUUCAGUGGGUGCUGGGGGUGGUGGGGGGGGGGGCAGCUGCCAGAGGCCAGUACUUCAUUUGAGAAACCGCUGCAUUUGAUUGGCUGUGCCUGGGGACGGGAGAGGGAAGAGCACUGACUGUGACCUGCCACCCAAGGUUCUGGCCUGAGAGCAAAUACCACCCAAAAGAGCCGCCUGGCAACUGGGGAUAGGGAACAAUCACAGUCCAGAGAGAUAAGGCUAGUAAACGCUCAACAAUUAGGGCACAAUUAUGGACUUAAUUGUGUCCUCCUGCUUCUGGGCCUCUAGGGAUCCACCCCAAGCUGUCUCCCUGAGCCCAGCAGUCAGAUUUUCACCCGGGUCAGUGGGGCUUUCUGUGGAUUUUUUUUUUUUUUACAUUUAUUUAUUUUUGAGAGACAGAGUGAGACAAAGCACGAGCAGGGGAGGGGCAGAGAGAGAAGGAGACACAGAGUCCG